rnacentral:misc_RNA from 1 species
GAUGAAGAACGCAGUGAAAUGCGAUAAGUAGUGUGAAUUGCAGAAUUCAGUGAAUCAUCGAAUCUUUGAACGCACAUUGCGCCCCUUGGUAUUCCAUGGGGCAUGCCUGUUCGAGCGUCAUUUGUACCUUCAAGCUCUGCUUGGUGUUGGGUGUUUGUCUCGCCUCUGCGUGUAGACUCGCCUCAAAACAAUUGGCAGCCGGCGUAUUGAUUUCGGAGCGCAGUACAUCUCGCGCUUUGCACCCAUAACGACGACGUCCAAAAGUACAUUUUUACACUCUUGACCUCGGAUCAGGUAGGGAUACCCGCUGAACUUAAGCAUAUCAAUAAGCGGAGGA